rnacentral:rRNA from 1 species
AGAGUUUGAUCCUGGCUCAGAUUGAACGCUGGCGGUAUGCUUAACACAUGCAAGUCGAACGGCAGCAUGCUAUUUUUUCGGAAAUAGUGAUGGCGAGUGGCGGACGGGUGAGUAACACGUAGGUAUCUACCUAGAAGAGGGGGACAACCCGGGGAAACUCGGGCUAAUACCGCAUAAUCUCUACGGAGGAAAGUUGGGGACCUUAGGGCCUGACGCUUUUAGAUGAGCCUGCGGCAGAUUAGCUUGUUGGUGGGGUAAAGGCCUACCAAGGCAACGAUCUGUAGCUGGUCUGAGAGGAUGAUCAGCCACACUGGGACUGAGACACGGCCCAGACUCCUACGGGAGGCAGCAGUGGGGAAUUUUGGACAAUGCGAAAGCCUGAUCCAGCAAUACCGCGUGUGUGACGAAGGCCUUCGGGUCGUAAAGCACUUUCAAUUGUGAAGAAAUGCACAUAGUUAAUAGCUAUGUGAGCUGACGUUAACAAUAGAAGAAGCACCGGCUAACUCUGUGCCAGCAGCCGCGGUAAUACAGAGGGUGCAAGCGUUAAUCGGAAUUACUGGGCGUAAAGCGCGCGUAGGUGGACAAAUAAGUCAUGUGUGAAAGCCCUGGGCUCAACCUGGGAACUGCAUGUGAUACUGUUUGUCUAGAGUAUGGUAGAGGAAAGUGGAAUUUCCGGUGUAGCGGUGAAAUGCAUAGAUAUCGGAAGGAACAUCAAUGGCGAAGGCAACUUUCUGGGCCAUUACUGACACUGAGGCGCGAAAGCGUGGGUAGCNAACAGGAUUAGAUACCCUGGUAGUCCACGCCGUAAACGAUGAGAACUAGGCGUAAGGAAUAAUCUUUGUGCCGAAGCUAACGCGUUAAGUUCUCCGCCUGGGGAGUACGGCCGCAAGGCUAAAACUCAAAGGAAUUGACGGGGGCCCGCAC